rnacentral:misc_RNA from 1 species
GUGCUUAACAGGUUAUAAUGAAAGUUAAGGAUGCUACCAGACUUUUGGGUUAAAUUCCAGGUGUCAAUUUAUGUAUUCUUCGAUUCUCAAGUCAUGAUCUGUAUAUGAUGAAAGCAUCAAUAUGCAAGUAGAAAAUUGAAUUUUGGUUGUAACAGUGUGUUUUACUUAUUUAUUAAGAGUCCUAGCUUGAUAGGUACUCAACUAAAGGCCAACAGAGUAUUUUUUGGUUUGUGGUUUGCAAUUUUAUUUCACUUUCUUGAGUGUAGUCUCUGGUAACAUUCAUGUCUAUCAAACUUUGGAAGCUGUUUCAUUAUGACAAAUUCAAGCUCUAAUAUAUUUAAGGGGAGUCUGAACGAGAAGUUAGACGUUCAAUUUUCAGGAAGCUAGUGUGGCAUGUGUUUUCUCAGCCAAUGUUUUGGUAACUGAUUAUUCUUUUCACUCAGGCAUUUGAAAUUAUGCAAUGAAGAAGAAUAAUGAUAGUUAUCUCUUAUCUGAUUGCACCAUAAUUGUAUUGGUUUUUGUAAAACUAAAUUGGUGAUCUAUUGAUAUGGUG